UGGACCUUCUUUAUCUUCUGGUUCUAGUUCUGAACUGAAGCCGAACUUUUUUUCGAGUUCCAGCAGAAUAAAGAGAUGAAGGAUCAGUUUCUUGUUUCCUGUUGGACAGAACAGCAGGAAAAAGUUCAACUUUGACCCAAAGUGUCAUCAGCGAUAUCUGGCGGCCGGGUCGGUUCUGCGGGUCCAUGCGGUCCGGUUCGGUCCGGGUCAGGAACUGUUGGGAUCGCUGCAGGCGUUGGUGGAGGAGCGACGACUCAGAGCGCCCUUCAUCAUCACCUGUGUGGGCAGCGUUACCAGGGCAACGCUCAGGCUGGCAAACGCCACGGCAACAAAUACUAACGAGGUUCUGCAGCUCAGCGGUCGCUAUGAGAUCGUCUCUCUGGUCGGGACGCUCAACAGCGACGCCCACCUCCACAUCAGCCUGGCGGACGCCCAGGGUGCCACGGUGGGCGGCCAUGUUCUGGGCGGCCUGGAGGUGUUCACCACCGCCGAGGUCGUCGUGGGCGACGCCGUCGACCUGCGGUUCAGCAGGGAGCCCGACCCGAGGACGGGCUUCCCCGAACUGGUGGUUCUGACCCGGUCAGAGCCUGAAGAGGGUUCUGGACCCGGACCCGGUUCUGUCUGAUAAAAAUGUCCCUGAUUAAAUCGCUGUCAGCUUUCCGUAGCCGACCCAGAACCUGUGGCCAGCGGAUCAGAACCAGAAUCAGAACCAAUCAUUUGUAAACAGCGUUUCUGUGAAAUAAUUGACCUUUGACCCCAGCCUCUCUGUUCCUGCUGAGCUGUGAGCGGUUGCUAUGGAAACAGAUGAAAUAAAAGCCUGUUGGUUUGUUUUGAUUUUCAU